GACGAACGCUGGCGGCGUGCCUAAUACAUACAAGUCGAGCGCAGGAAACUGACGGAACUCUUCGGAGGGAAGGCAGUGGAAUGAGCGGCGGACGGGUGAGUAACACGUAAGGAACCUGCCUCAAGGAUUGGGAUAACUCCGAGAAAUCGGAGCUAAUACCGGAUAGUUCAACGGACCGCAUGGUCCGCUGAUGAAAGGCGCUUCGGCGUCACCUUGAGAUGGCCUUGCGGUGCAUUAGCUAGUUGGUGGGGUAACGGCCCACCAAGGCGACGAUGCAUAGCCGACCUGAGAGGGUGAUCGGCCACACUGGGACUGAGACACGGCCCAGACUCCUACGGGAGGCAGCAGUAGGGAAUCUUCCACAAUGGACGAAAGUCUGAUGGAGCAACGCCGCGUGAGUGAUGAAGGUUUUCGGAUCGUAAAACUCUGUUGUAAGGGAAGAACACGUACGAGAGGAAAUGCUCGUACCUUGACGGUACCUUACGAGAAAGCCACGGCUAACUACGUGCCAGCAGCCGCGGUAACAC
rnacentral:rRNA from 1 species